rnacentral:lncRNA from 1 species
CAUGGAGUUGUACAAAGCACUGAGCAUAGUUAAGAAGCUGGCUUUUGCCUAUAUUUUCAAGAGGGAGAUAAAAGAUGUAAUUACAAAUAUGAUUGUAUUUUACAUGCAGUGUCUUUCUGAUUAAUAUUGAUCUAUCCAUAAAUAGGAAGAGCUCAAACAGCUGAACAAGCCUGGAUCCUUUGUCCCAUCACCCUUUCAAAGGUUUCACACUUUUCCUGGGGCCUCUGGGCUCCUGUCCAGGCUGAGAUACUUCACAAUUGACUUUCAUUUUCUGAGGACUGACAGGCCAUCAGAAUGGAACUUUUCUCUGCUGACCACUGCUGGCGUGGGCCCAGGACCACUCUUUCCUCUGGAAACAGGGAGGAGAGGUAGGCAGACCAUCACUUCCUCUGCAUGACCAUGUGGCUGGGACACGGACACAAAGCCAGGCCACUCCUU